ensembl:snoRNA
AAAGCAGGCCUGCAAUUGCAGCACUCCAUGUUGGUAGAGUGCUGUCAUUAACCCUGCUGAGAGAAAGUCAGCUAUUGAGCUUGUGCUCCUCCUCACUGUGCUGGUGAUGAAGGACGCUCAGAGGCUGAACACC